AUUGAACGCUGGCGGCAUGCCUUACACAUGCAAGUCGAACGGUAACAGGUCUUCGGAUGCUGACGAGUGGCGAACGGGUGAGUAAUACAUCGGAACGUGCCCGAUCGUGGGGGAUAACGGAGCGAAAGCUUUGCUAAUACCGCAUACGAUCUACGGAUGAAAGCAGGGGACCGCAAGGCCUUGCGCGGACGGAGCGGCCGAUGGCAGAUUAGGUAGUUGGUGGGAUAAAAGCUUACCAAGCCGACGAUCUGUAGCUGGUCUGAGAGGACGACCAGCCACACUGGGACUGAGAAACGGCCCAGACUCCUACGGGAGGCAGCAGUGGGGAAUUUUGGACAAUGGGCGCAAGCCUGAUCCAGCCAUGCCGCGUGCAGGAUGAAGGCCUUCGGGUUGUAAACUGCUUUUGUACGGAACGAAAAGACUCUGGUUAAUACCUGGGGUCCAUGACGGUACCGUAAGAAUAAGCACCGGCUAACUACGUGCCAGCAGCCGCUGUAAGAC
rnacentral:rRNA from 1 species